rnacentral:lncRNA from 1 species
AAACAAUAAACAAACAUUAUAAAUAAUACUAAAAAAUUCCUAAUGAUACUAUAUGGGUAUCACCCAUAUACAUGCUCUAACUUUGAGUGAACAACAUUGGUCACGACCUUACUUGAACAGGAUCUGUUCUAUAGGCUCGUACCUCUGUUUCCUUGAUUUCUCAAGAGACAGGCCCUUAACCCUGGUUGAUGAACCAUGACCGUGCUAUCAGAGCGUGAUUAACGGCCACGAUCAUCUUCGGACGCAUCCGGUGCUGUAGAGGAUCGUUACUCGGCUCGGUUCUACCUUGCCGGGGUGGUUGCACGGCGGUCUGACAGGUUCCUUUUUUUUCAUUCACUCGGUUCUUUAUUUUAAACAACGUAAGCUAUAUAAAUAUACAAUCCAAAACAUAGAGUCAUUGAUGAGAACUAAAAGGUGCUAAAGAGAUAUUUGACUAUAACCAUUACAAAAUAAUAAGAAGAAGCAAUGAGACGUACGAGAGAACUGACAAUGCCUAAAAAAGUUAUUUCGUAGUAAAAGUUUGUGAAUAGUGACAUUGACAUCAUCGCACAACUGCAUAGGAAGAAACUCAAGUGAGAUCAGCCUCGAAUCUGAGUUGUAUAGUGCUAUAUCGUGCAUCAUACAAUGAGGUAGUUGAUCUUAGUUAACCUUCAUGAAUUGAUACUUUUUUUUUAAUCAAUCCGAUGAGAUUAAAAGAGAUCAACUACACAACUGGACAUUGUACAAUUCAGAUUCUCUUAAGCUCCUUUCGAUGCAGCCUUGUGAUGAUCUCACUAUUUUCAUGGUGAACUUGUCUUCUUUCUGUUUUAUAGAGGAGAGUCCAUUGGUUAAUUGGUGAUGGUUUUAGGUAUCUAAAGAAACAAAUAAUUUAUAGGGUAAAAUAACUAAUGAAUACAAUAAAUUCAUUACGAGAGUUACAGUUUGAGAAUCGUCCGUUAUGACAAUCUUUGUAAUAAAAACAUAGACACUUCACCAUUUGAUUCGAAUAUAUAUUUAUUAUAUUGUUGUUAUAUAAACGCUGUAACCAGCCCCGGCUCAUAUGGGUAGGGCGGAGGUGCGACGGCCCGGGACUUUUUUUUUUUAUAAAAAAUUUUUACAUAUAAAAAAGGCCCAAAUAUUUUUUAAAAAUAUUAUUAAUAUGAGAAUUAUAUUUUAAGAGGCCUAAUUAUUUAUAAGAAAAUGUAUAAAAAGGCCCAAAAUUUUUAAAAUAACAAUUUUUACUAUAAAAACUCCGCAAAAUUUUUAAAAAUUAAGUAAAUUUUCUCUUUGUAUAUAAUAAUAGGCCAAAAUUUUUUUUUUUGCUCUAAGGCUCUCAAAUAUGUUGAGCCGGGGCUGGCUGUAACAAAUCGGAUGUAUUAAAAGACUAAAAUAUGUAUUAAAAUCUGUUACGUUUUUUGGUUUUAUAAUAACACAAGUUCUAUACUCAAUUUUCUUCAGCAUUUUUAAGCCUCUAGUUGAGCAAAUCCCUAUUUUACUCGUAUACAACAUUCGGUAGUUUUUUCCCAACCUGAAUUUCAUCCAUUUUCUCUUCAUUUUUUAAUUUUCGUGAACCAAAUAGCCCAGACUUUUCUCAGUUCUAUUCACCAUCUAUGCACAAUUUUGUGAUGCAUUUUCUUAUAUACUAUAAAGGAAACGCUAUAAUUUAAGCAAAUAUUUGUUUUUAAAAUUAUGAGUUUCAUUCUUGAAACAUGUAACCAACCCACGUUGGUCCAGUUGGUAAAGGGCUCACGGCUGUGAGUUCCCUCUCCUGGGUUCGAUUCGGGUUGGCCACCUAGCCGCUCCCUUAACGAUGGGAUAAAGCGUACCCGGAUGCAAGACCUCGUGGAUUAGUCUUUGGGCCUAGAAAGCCUUUGGGAUGACCACGGUUAUCAAAAAAAAAAAAAAAAAAAAAAAAAGAAACAUGUAAACAAUUAUAAAACAAACUCGUGAAACAUGUGGAUCCAAAAACAGAAGUUUUUGACUAUCACGUUUUUAGGAGAUCAAUUCAUCGCACAUAAUGCAACCAAACCCGCAAUGAGUUAAGACUACUUAAGAGAUGGGAUUUAAAUAUGGGCCUUUGCAGUUUAUACACAUUACAAGAUAUUGCAUCUGUCCCACAUCGUUCAAGUCUAAACAAAACUUGCUGAGAGAGCACCGAUGGUCACGACCUUACUUGAACAGGAUCUCCUCUAUAGAUUUGUACUUCUGUUUCAUUGAUUUCUCAAGAGACAGGCCCUUAACCCUGGUUGAUGAACCAUGACCGUGCGAUCAGAGUGUGAUUAACGGCUACGAUCGUCUUCGGACGCAUUCGGUGCUGUAGAGGAUCGUUACUCGGCUCGGUUCUACCUUUCCGCGGUGGUUGCACGUACGGCGGUCUGACAGGUUACCAUAUUUUUCCCCCAAAAUUUCUCCGUUUGUUUUUCUCUGUUUCUUGAGCGUGUCUAAGUAUUGAAUUAAAUCGUACAUGUGAAUAUCUUCCAUGAAUGACUGGAAUAAAGAAAUUCUUGAACAUUGGAAGUUGGAACUAACUACUAUAAAGCUAUAAUAAUCACUUUUGGCAAUGAGGAAGGUAUAAACUUCGAGUUGCUAGGAGUGUCUGCUUAGAUGGAAACCGGCGGUUAAUGGAAAUCUCAGGUUUUAAAACAAUUAAGACUUUUUUUUUACUGAUGGGCUUAUAAAUAAACAAGCGUUGGCCCAUUUAUCGUUGAAUUGUAUAAAGGGACCCAAGAAUAGUUGUUUUCUUACUGAUUUGAGAGUCCCACAUUGCUUGCAAAACUCAGGAACAGUGAUUAAACUCGACUAUAUAUACAGAUCGAGAGCGAGCUAAUAUAACUCACGCAGCCUUGCAGUGAAGACAAAGCGAACUAUUCUUUCGCCUUUUACUAAAGAAUACCGUGUCUUCUCUGCUCUUAGCGGCAUACGCCUAUUUUUGGAAAGGUUUAUUACCAAAAUUAUAAACCUCCAUCAACUCUUCAGUCUUUAAAAUGAUUAUAAUUAAACUAUACUUAUAUUUCUCUAGUGUUGGUCGAAUAAAAGAUCAGGCAUCAGUGUUUGUUCUUAAAGUCACGUUGAGUCAUAUUGGAUGAAGUGUAGGACAUGAGUCAUAAUUCAUAAACCUCAUAUGACAUGCGAGACAUUGGUAUAAGAGGUUGAAUAGAUUCAGAUUUUAAAACUAUCUUUGCGCUUGGGGCAAUGACGCAGCUAGGGAGGUACUAACUGAAGCGCGUAUAUAUAUUGCUGAUUGAAAACUGAUGAGACCGAUAAGUUGAUAAUUUUAUUGUCAGUUAACUCUUUUAAUUAUCUCCUUAGUAAUAGGAGAAGUAGUGUCUCCACUUUCCACUUCCUUAUCUCUAGGAUCGUGAUCAAGUUGGUUUAUGUUUUGUAUUUAAAGACGUUCACGUCAAGAAGGAAAUUAUGAAUGAAAAAUUGUCUAAGAAACUUGUGUUCUUGUGUUGUUCUUUUGAACAAUUUUCUUUGGCUUUGAAGAGUGACCAAAAUUAACAUUGAUUGUCAACAAAAACUAUUUCCAAAUCCCCUCUUUAGGCUUUUGAGAAUUAUUGAAAGGGUCUGUCCUUUUGGGUAUAAAACCCUACAACUUCUAAGUUUUAUAAUUUUAGGCCAGUUUCUUGAUACUGAUGAGUACACGCCAAGUAACUCACAAUCGAUCUCUAAGCGUUUUAUGCAAUCAAAAUUAGGUUUUGGACAUUUGGUUAAUUUUCUCUUAUGAAAAAGUCACGAAUAGAAUGAGAUUCAACGGGCAUUAUUAAAUCCCCAUCAAAACUAUAGUGUUUAAUGGUAAUAAGAUGUUAAGAAAAUGUUUUCAGUGAAUAAGAAUAUUUGGUUUGUAAAUAUACCACGGGCAUUAUUAUCCAACGUUUCCGGUUACAACAGAUUUGUAGUUUUCGAAUACCAACAUAACGCAACCUUUAGUUUGGGCAUUUAAGGUUAUAUAGAUUAUGUAUCUAAGGUUAACACAACCUUCAAUUUGCCAUUUUGAUCUGUGAGCUUCCCCUAGAGCACAACUAUUACAACGGGUGGCCAUGUAGUCACUGCAAGACGCCGAAUCUGUAGUUGUUCUAGAUUUCAUCAUUGGUAAUCCAAGAAAGGAAGAAAAGUUUCGGAUCUAAAAAAAAACAAUGAUUGGGACAUGAAUGACUGCUUUGCUUGUUCUAACAGGUUAUGUUUUCACAUCUUGUUGUGAAGAUAGCGUUGUUACCCGCACAUAAUGUUAUAUACUCAGAAACAAGAUUGAGAACGAAUUUUAUCACACUCGAUUGCUAUACUUCGUAAAUCAUAUGACUUCAUGACCAAUUUUGAACGCUAAGUUAGGGCCUUAAGUGGGCCUUCGUCCAUAUAUCACCCAUGCAUGCUUUUCUAUUGUGAUCUUUAAUUUUGUCCCACAUCGCUAUUUUGAAGAACAAUGUUGCUGUAUAUAUAACUUUGAGUGAACAGCAAUGGUCACGACCUUACUUGAACAGGAUCUGUUCUAUAGGCAUGUACAUCUGUUUCCUUGAUUUCUCAAGAGACAGGCCCUUAAUCCUGGUUGAUGAACCAUGACCGUGCGAUCAGAGCGUGAUUAACGGCCACGAUCAUCUUCGGACGCAUCCGGUGCUGUAGAGGAUUGUUACUCGGCUCGGUUCUACCCCGACCGGGGUGGUCGCACGGCGGUCUGACAGGUUACUUUUUUUUUUUUCUUAAUUUGCUCUGUCACUUCUGUUUCGGGAAAAUCCCAGAAAAAACACUCAAAGUGACCAUAGCUCCCACUUUAAACCUUGAAAGUUUUGCACAUCCAUUUUAAUAUCUCAAGGUG